AAGGAGAGGAGGAGUUUGUCUCUUGGGGGUCCUGGACCUACCCGUUGCUCUUCUUCCUGAGGUCCUGGGGUCCCCAGGGCAGCCCACCCCACCCCCCUGCCCUCCGUUUGACUUCCCUGAAGCUCUGAGCAGCAAAGAUCAGGAGUCCAGAGCCCCGUGGCUUCUGUCACCCUGCCAGCCUAAGAGUCAUGGAUGGGGCUGGAAGAGGCUGGAGGGUUGGGAUAGAAGUGGGUUCCUGGCAGUCUUGGCUCCCAGGCCAUCGAUUGAUUUAUGCCUACUGCUGUCUCAGCACCUUCUGCUGUUUCCCGACUGGUGUACGAGGCAGGGCUCUACUCAGUCUUGGCACUAGAGAACUGAAGUGGGGCAAGGGGGUGGGGCGGAGGGCGGAGAGGGCCCUGGAGGUCUGAAGAGGGUGUGGGCCUCAGGGAAGAAGUCUGCAGUGGACCGGAGGAGACAGGUUGGCAGUGGGAGGCACUGUGCCAAACUGGCCUCAUCGUCUUAGUGUCCCCCACUUACUGUAUGGUUGGGUGAUGGGGAAGGAGGGGUGGUGGGCUUGGGGAGCGAGAGUCAGGACGAGGGCUCUGUGCUGAGCUCCCCAGGAGCCUGACAAGCCUGCAGCCCUCCCCACCUCCCCUGCUCUCACACUUCUUGGCAACACAGGCACUGUCUCUUAGCGACAGGGUUUUGGGGGAGCCAUGGCCCCCACCAUGCUGCCCGUGGGAUGCAUGCGCAUCGCCCUCCCCCAGCAGAGUCACCAAGCCUCAGGCAGCAGCAGACAGGGGUACGCUGGCCCCAGUUCAUGGCUGGUCAGCCCAUCUAUCUGUGCCUGUCCCGAUCUCAGGGUGAAGCUCUCUGAUCCAUGCCAUGCUUCCUGAAUGCCUGAGAAUGGGCCAGCUGGGCUGGCUGCCUACAGACAGCAUCGUUGCUGCUGGCUGCACCUUGGGUCCAGUACAGCCAUAUCUACAGUCACAGGUGCCGGACCCAGACAGAGAUCAUUUCAGCCUAGGUGUGCGGACAACGGAACUGUAGGAGGAGCCGGAACAAGGAGGCUCCAGGUCGGGAGCUCCAGGGAUUCGGAGCUAGGUAAACUGGGUGCUGUGCGCUCCUUCAAUCUUAUGCCUCCACUUCUCAAAUCUAUUGCUGGACCUCCUCGUGAGUCCCGGCCCCAUUUCCUCGAGUACCUAUUGACCACUUUCCUUGAGUAUGUUACCAUGACCUCAAAGCCAGCCUGUCCACAUGUACCUGAAUGAAGGAAGAUCCCAGAGGAGGAGGAGGAUCAUUCUAGCCCAAUUUCCUCAUGGUGGAAGUGAUGACGCCUAGGUCCAAGGAGGUUCAUUUUUCAAGACUGUAAUUCGGGUACAAAGUGGCGGCUGAACUGAGGUCAGACUCUGACUCCAGCAGAGAGCUGAUUCCUAGGAGCCCUCCAACAGCCAGUUGGGGUCAUUCCGAAGCCAGCUGUGCAGGAGAGCUGUGAUGGUGAAGACUCUAGCCAGGCUUUGAAGGGUUUCACACUCGGCUAGCCGGCUCUGAAGGGUUCCACACUCGGCUAGCCCGGCUCUGAAGGGUUCCACACUCGGCUAGCCCGGCUCUGAAGGGUUCCACACUCGGCUAGCCUGGCUCUGAAGGGUUCCACACUCGGCUAGCCCGGCUCUGAAGGGUUCCACACUCGGCUAGCCCGGCUCUGAAGGGUUUCACACUCGGCUUUGAGGUCGUUUCCCUCUCUCUUCUCGGCCCAGUGGCACAGCAGAGGCAAGGCAAAACUGAGAAAGCCAAGAAAGGAGACACCUCACCUCCUUCGUAAGCUGUAAGUAGGUGGCGAAGGCCUGGGAGGACACGCCAACAAGCUUUGUCAGUAGUUAAGAAGCCGCCUUAAACGCAGGCUUUGUGUUUGCCCAGACUUGGCAAUUUUGAAGCCUUGGGCAAAUAGCAUGUAAUGGGUCCUCAGUCAACUUUGUGCCUCCAAUUUGGCAGAGGAGGGGUGUUAUUAACCAUGCACACCAUCUGCUACCUUCUCCUUUUAACUAAUUAUUCUCGCUAACUAGGUGCUAAGCUCAGUUGUUGCUACACCGCUAAAGGAAUACCCAGGCUGUCGAGGACGCAUUCAUUUAACAAAAAUUUAAAGUGACAGACACCUUUAAAACCACCACCGACUGGCACUUGCUCAUGCAUUCUAAAUGUGGGUGUUGUAGCCCAAAGUCUCAGUCGCCUGCCUUGGCUAUAUGCAAAAAGCCUGAUGACAUGUGGCCGGCAGGAACAGAACAGAAGGAGAGUGAUGUAUGUUAUGCUCUGUGAAUGUCCGGGAAGUGGGCAGGGUAAUGGGCCACAGCAGAGGGUGUUCUCCCUCUUCUGGUUUCUGCCACCCUUUCCUCCCUUUGAGGCCUGUCAGCACAGACAGGGGAGAAGGCUGUGUGUUGACUGAGCGCCACGGAACCAUAAAAGUUCAUAAGAAAGUGGAUAUGAUAGUCUAUGCUUGUGAUCCCAGCUCUGGGGAAGCUGAGGCAGAAGGAUCACAGGUUUGAGGCCAGUCUGAGCUAUAGAGCAAGACCCUGUCUCAAAAACCCCAAACCCUAAUAUAAAAAGCCACCCCCCCUCAAAAAAAAAUGCUGACUGAGAAAAGACCGCAUUGAUGUUUCUUGGAGUCUGCUCUACACUGUGUGAUCACCACAAUGUGUUUUGGGCCUGUCUGUUUCGACAGUUACUUAUUUAAAAUGAAGUAUUAUCAAGUGAGGAUUUCCCACAUCUUGUCUCACCACACCACUGUUGAGCUGUGGUGCAGGGUAGGAGGUUAUGAUCAAUAACAACUGUUAGGGAGCAGCUGACCCUAAAAGAGAAUAUCUCAAACUGCUGACGGCUACCCCAUCACUCUCCCUCCUGACAUCUGUUCUACAGACUACCCAACAGUCUUGGUUUUAUAUAUGGAUACGUGUGCAUGCCUAUGUGUAUAUAUACCAUGUGUGUGUGUGACUCGCUUCUCCUAUUUCUCAUUUCUUGAUAUGUGGUUAGAAAAAUCUUCAUUCCCACUGUCUCUGGAGCAAUCCAUACUAGUCCCUUGGUCACUGGCCUAGACCUGGAUGACAGUCAAUGGCCACCUCACUGAUGUUCUUGGUCUGGCAUCCUCGGUAUAAGGGUGUCCUCACCAUUGCCAGGUUAUGCUUCCUUAAAUCAUGUUCAUCUUGCUGCAAGCUUCACGUGGGUUCUAUUUGCUACACAAUCACUGACACUCUUUUGGGAGGCUGUGGAAGUCCCUGAGUCCCAUCCAUGCAGCCCACUUCCCACAGUUCUAGCCCUUGGCUGAGGACUGACAGAGCGCCCCUCUUCCCUUCGGUCCUUGGCUCUUUGGUCAUUUAUCAGGGUCACUGGAGCCCCAUCCUCAUCCUAUGUGCCUAUCACCACCCAUUCCUUGAGGUCUAACUCAAGCCCAACUUCAGAGCCAACUGCAGGAUUUGCUAAGUGAACUUGCUGGUGGCCAGAGGAUAUUUUCUUUUUCUUUCUUUCGAUUUUUCCUUUUUUUUUAGACAGGUUUUCUCUGUAUAACAGUUCGGGCUGUCCUGGAACUUGCUUUGUAGACCAGUCUAGUUUUGAACUCACAGAGAUCCUCCUGCUUCUGCCUCCCAAGUGCUGGGAUUAAAGGUGUGCGCCACCACCACCUGGCUGAGGAUAUUUUCUUAAUAAGGCUUUUCUUCUUUUCACGUGUAUUUGCACAUUCAUAUGUGGGUGUACAUGUGUGGAGGCCUGAGGCUGAUGUCAGGAACCUUCCUUGGUUGCUAUUCCACCUUAUUCUUUUGAGCCAAAGUCUGUCAAUCAAACCCAGACUUGCUCUGGGGAUCCCAUCUCUGUCUUCUGAGGCUGCAAUUACCGGCGAUCCCCAGACACAUCUGGCAUUUAUGUGGGCCCAGGAGCCUGACCCUCAGUCCCCCUGCUUGCAGAGCAAGAGAUUUCAUGGCUAAACCAUAUCCCAAGCCUCCCCACCCCAGAGGAUUUUGACAUGAAAUUGUGCACGGUUCUGGGUUUGACCCCAGCACUGGUGUGUGCAUGUGUGCGUGUGUGUGUGUGUGUGCGUGCGUGUGUGCGUGCGUGCGUGCGUGCGCAUGCGUGCGUGCGUGCGUGUGUGUGUGUGUGUGUGUGUGUGUGUGUGUGCACUCUAUGUUCAUUUUAAAUGGCUGUCACUAAUUGGCCCCUGCUUCUCAGGAUUAAGACUACCAUCUCAGACUCUUCCAGCAGUCUAUGCCGGGCAAUACAACUUUGUCGGACACAUAUUUGGCCCUUUACAAAGCACAUUUAAGUAUCUGUCAACAGUUCUUUAAAAAUGGAAUUAUCUUGAGGCUGGAGAGAUGGCUCAGUGGUUAAGAGCACUGGUUGAUUUUACAGAGGACCCUGGUUUGGAACCCAGAACUUGCAUGGGUUCACAACUGUCUGUAACUCCAUUUCCAAGGGACAUGGUACUAUCUUCUGGCCUCCAUGGGCAUAAAACACACACAGUGUACAGACAUACAUGCAGGAAAAAAAAACCCUCAUAGACAUAAAAUAAAAAUAAAUAAUGAAAAAAUGGAACUAUCUUAUUUUAUCUAUAACACUUCAGUCAACUGUUGUUUAAGGGCCUCCUUUUCCAAGAAGACUGCCCAAAUUAUUUCUGUCAACUGUUCGGUGUGUUCACAGGCUGUGCUUUCUCUGUGCUGGUGGAUCCUCCCUUGCACUUUGAGGAACAGUGCGCACUCCAAGUUUUGGGGGAAGACGUACCUUCUCUGCAGCAUGGCUCACAUUUUCUUACACAGUUGGAGGCUGGUGCCAAGUGUCAAGCCUGACAUGGGUUAGACUAAAGUCUAUGGGUACCUAAGGGCUAGCACUACACAAACAGGGGAUGUGCCUAGCGUGUAGGCAUCGGAAUAAGGGGAGGCCUGGGUUGAAUCACAGAUCUUUCCCUCCUGGCUGUGAGACCCUGAGAGGUGUCUCCAGCUGUGUGACCCAGCACAGCCUCUGUAAACAUAGGAGAAUAGUCCUCCCUGGGUAUGGUGGCUCACAUUUGUACUUCUGGUGCUGGGGAAACAAGUUCAUGGCUAGAGUGGGCUACAAAGUAAAUUCCAUACCACUCU